rnacentral:rRNA from 1 species
UACGUAGGGGGCAAGCGUUGUCCGGAAUCAUUGGGCGUAAAGCGCGUGUAGGCGGUUCGGUAAGUCUGCUGUGAAAGUUCGGGGCUCAACCCUGAAUCGGCCGUCGAUACUCCCGUGCUUGAGCACUGUAGAGGCAGAUGGAAUUCCGGGUGUAGCGGUGGAAUGCGUAGAGAUCCGGAAGAACACCGGUGGCGAAGGCGGUCUGCUGGGCAGUAGCUGACACUGAGGCGCGACAGCGUGGGGAGCAAACAGG